AAACUACUCCCUCCGUCCCAAAAUUCUUGUCUUAGAUUUGUCUAAAUACGGAUGUAUCUAGUUACAUUUUAGUGUUAGAUACAUCUGUAUCUAGACAAAUGUAAGACAAGAAUUUUGGGACGGAGGGAGUAAUAU
rnacentral:pre_miRNA from 1 species